rnacentral:misc_RNA from 1 species
GAUGAAGAACGUAGCGAAAUGCGAUACUUGGUGUGAAUUGCAGAAUCCCGUGAACCAUCGAGUCUUUGAACGCAAGUUGCGCCCGAAGCCAUUAGGCCGAGGGCACGCCUGCCUGGGCGUCACACGUCGUUGCCCCCCCAUCUACUCCUUCGGGAUUGCGGCGGGCGGAUGAUGGCCUCCCGUGCGCCUCGUCGCGCGGUUGGCAUAAAUGCCAAGUCCUCGGCGACGCACGCCACGACAAUCGGUGGUUGCGAAACCUCGGUUGCCCGUCGUGUGCGGUCGUCGCGCAUCGAGGGCUCGAAAAAAUUGUCGGGCUCCGGCUCGGCUUUCAACGCGACCCCAGGUCAGGCGGGGUUACCCGCUGAAUUUAAGCAUAUCAAUAAGCGGAGGA